rnacentral:rRNA from 1 species
GCAAUGGCGGCGUGCUAUACAUGCAAGUAGAACGCUGAAGAGAGGAGCUUGCUCUUCUUGGAUGAGUUGCGAACGGGUGAGUAACGCGUAGGUAACCUGCCUUGUAGCGGGGGAUAACUAUUGGAAACGAUAGCUAAUACCGCAUAACAAUGGAUGACACAUGUCAUUUAUUUGAAAGGGGCAAUUGCUCCACUACAAGAUGGACCUGCGUUGUAUUAGCUAGUAGGUGAGGUAACGGCUCACCUAGGCGACGAUACAUAGCCGACCUGAGAGGGUGAUCGGCCACACUGGGACUGAGACACGGCCCAGACUCCUACGGGAGGCAGCAGUAGGGAAUCUUCGGCAAUGGGGGCAACCCUGACCGAGCAACGCCGCGUGAGUGAAGAAGGUUUUCGGAUCGUAAAGCUCUGUUGUAAGUCAAGAACGAGUGUGAGAGUGGAAAGUUCACACUGUGACGGUAGCUUACCAGAAAGGGACGGCUAACUACGUGCCAGCAGCCGCGGUAAUACGUAGGUCCCGAGCGUUGUCCGGAUUUAUUGGGCGUAAAGCGAGCGCAGGCGGUUUGAUAAGUCUGAAGUUAAAGGCUGUGGCUCAACCAUAGUUCGCUUUGGAAACUGUCAAACUUGAGUGCAGAAGGGGAGAGUGGAAUUCCAUGUGUAGCGGUGAAAUGCGUAGAUAUAUGGAGGAACACCGGUGGCGAAAGCGGCUCUCUGGUCUGUAACUGACGCUGAGGCUCGAAAGCGUGGGGAGCGAACAGGAUUAGAUACCCUGGUAGUCCACGCCGUAAACGAUGAGUGCUAGGUGUUGGAUCCUUUCCGGGAUUCAGUGCCGCAGCUAACGCAUUAAGCACUCCGCCUGGGGAGUACGACCGCAAGGUUGAAACUCAAAGGAAUUGACGGGGGCCCGCACAAGCGGUGGAGCAUGUGGUUUAAUUCGAAGCAACGCGAAGAACCUUACCAGGUCUUGACAUCCCGAUGCUAUUUCUAGAGAUAGAAAGUUACUUCGGUACAUCGGUGACAGGUGGUGCAUGGUUGUCGUCAGCUCGUGUCGUGAGAUGUUGGGUUAAGUCCCGCAACGAGCGCAACCCCUAUUGUUAGUUGCCAUCAUUCAGUUGGGCACUCUAGCGAGACUGCCGGUAAUAAACCGGAGGAAGGUGGGGAUGACGUCAAAUCAUCAUGCCCCUUAUGACCUGGGCUACACACGUGCUACAAUGGUUGGUACAACGAGUUGCGAGUCGGUGACGGCAAGCUAAUCUCUUAAAGCCAAUCUCAGUUCGGAUUGUAGGCUGCAACUCGCCUACAUGAAGUCGGAAUCGCUAGUAAUCGCGGAUCAGCACGCCGCGGUGAAUACGUUCCCGGGCCUUGUACACACCGCCCGUCACACCACGAGAGUUUGUAACACCCGAAGUCGGUGAGGUAACCUUUUGGAGCCAGCCGCCUAAGGUGAUUAAAAUGG